AGCCUCCAUGUCAUCUCCAUCUUCUCUCAUCAUAACCACCACACAACCUUUCAUGCUGCAUCAGACCACCUACCUCCCAGGAAAUGAAACUCCACCGUCAGCCUCCACCGGAGCGACUACUUGACCUCCAUGCAAAAGCAUACGACAAUAAUGGUAGCAACCACAACCCUUUUAUGCUCCAGCCAUUGGACGUUACCAUCAUCGCACGAGAAACUACGAGCUCUACCCAGCACUGCUUAAGCUCCGGCAAGAAGAGCAGCAAAAGCAGAUCCACAGCACGGACUCGCUGAAAAAUGUGAGCCCGAACCGCACAUCACUGAAUCUCCAAGCAGAUUUUCAUCGUGUCAGCCACGCGACAACCACAAGAUCUCCACUAUAGAUCCACACAGUUCCAACAACGAUGAAAGCCAGCAACCAACGGUCGCCUACUGGUGAACCCUGUCCCAC
rnacentral:lncRNA from 1 species